UAAGACGAAGGUGGCAAGCGUUGUUCGGUAUUACUGGGCUUAAAGCGUGUGUAGGCGGAAAUGUAAGCGUUGCGUGAAAUCCCCCGGCUUAACCGGGGAACUGCGCAACGAACUGCGUUUCUUGAGGCAAGUAGGGGUACAUGGAACUCUUGGUGGAGCGGUGGAAUGCGUAGAUAUCAAGAGGAACGCCAGUGGAGAAAUCGGUGUACUGGGCUUGUACUGACGCUGAGACACGAAAGCGUGGGGAGCGAACGGGAUUAGAUACCCCGGUAGUCCACGCCGUAAACGAUGCCUACUAGGUUGUGGUGGUUCUGACACCAGCACGGCCGAAGCAAAAGUGUUAAGUAGGCCGCCUGGGGAGUACGGUCGCAAGGCUA
rnacentral:rRNA from 1 species